AUGACGCUGCUAAGUUGGAACUAUCGAGGCCUCGGGCAACCUUGCACACUUCAAGAACUCGUGUGCCUUGUGCACACCUACAAGCCCAAGCUCGUCUUCCUUUCCAAGACUCGGCAAAAUAAUAAGUACGUCAAAAAUCUCAAGUGGAGGCUGGGCCUCUAGCAUUGUAUCGCGCAACCCGGCAUCGGAAAAGGUGACGGCAUUGCCCUAUUUUAUGAUGAGAGUAUUGAAAUAAAAAAGAUUGUCGUGGGUGCGAGAUACAUCGAUGUUUUGAUCCGGUUAAACCCUCUUGGCUGCCAAUGGAGGGCCACCUUUGUUUAUGGGGAGCUGAAAGCUCAUGAGCGCCACCAGGUGUGGACCUUGCUAUGGAGAAUAAAGGAUUCAGCGAACAUGUCGUGGCUCAUGAUUGAUGACUUCAACAAAACCAUGUGA
rnacentral:rRNA from 1 species